UCCGUAGGUGAACCUGCGGAAGGAUCAUUAAUGAAUUUUAGGUUGUCCUCUUCAUCAGAGGGAACCGACCCUUCAUUUCCAACCCUGUGCACUAUAUCUGGGAACUUGCGCAAGCGAGAACCCGUCCAUUUAACAUACUCUAAGUAAUUGAAUGUAACAAAUACAAAACAAAAAAAACUUUCAACAACGGAUCUCUUGGCUCUCGCAUCGAUGAAGAACGCAGCGAAAUGUGAUAAGUAAUGUGAAUUGCAGAAUUCAGUGAAUCAUCGAAUCUUUGAACGCACCUUGCGCUCUCUGGUAUUCCGGAGAGCAUGCCUGUUUGAGUGUCAUGAACUCUUCAACCCUCCAGUUCCUUGUUGAACUGAUAGGUGUUUGGAUUCUGAGCGCUGCUGGCCUAACCCUUUCGGGGGCACAUGGCGAAGCUCGUUCGUAAUACAUUAGCAACUCAAUUUCGAGUAUUCGGAUUGACUCGGCGUAAUAGACUAUUCGCUGAGGACACUUAUUUACUUAGGUGGCCGAAUCUUGAGGUAGUAGCUUCUAAACUCGAUCAACAGUCAAAUUUUUAGAUUAGACCUCAGAUCAGGCAGGAUUACCCGCUGAACUUAAGCAUAUCAAUAAGCGGAGGA
rnacentral:rRNA from 1 species